rnacentral:lncRNA from 1 species
ACAAAAAGGCUCUACACAAUAACUCUCUCUUGCUCACCUAUUUUUUUUUAAGAAAAAAAAGAAAAGCAAGAUGGAAACGUAAAAAAGGAAAAAGAAAUGGUAAAAAAGGAAAAGAAAGUGUAAAAAAGGUCAUCUUCAUCUUCAACCUCUCUCCCCCGAGAGCCAAGAAAAACCUAGACUUUUCUACGAAUCAACCGCUAACCAAAAGAAUAAAAAAACUCCGAUCAUAUUGCUCUCCAAGUCGUCGGCCACCGCACAUCACAUACUCGUUUCCCUCAGCUCUCGGCCUCCAUGCCAUCAUCAAGACAAACAAACCAUCAUUGAUCUCUUAAGUGAGAUAUUUUCUCCACCGACGCAACCAGUGCUAGCCUCUCCCUCUCUUUCAACCAUCUGUCGAUUUUCUCUCCAACAGCCUCUCAUAACGAUAGCCGUGACAACUACAUCAUACGAAUUCAGUUGUAGCAACCCACACUGACUCAAACCAACUAUAUAUCUUUUCUUUCCAUCAAUAGACCCACGACUGACCAUCAACACUAGCAGCUAUCAAGUCUAAAUACUAAACCCAAAAGCAAUCCGAAAAUGACUCAACAAGAAUCCCAAAGAAAAUAGAGAAAACUAAAAUUUUUUGCAUUUGUUUUUCUUGUUACAAAUGCUGGUUCAUUACAACGCCUAUGUAGGUUUAAAGAGGAGCAGGAGAGUUACCCGAUCCAGAUGAUAACAUGC